rnacentral:rRNA from 1 species
AACGAACGCUGGCGGCGUGGAUAAGGCAUGCAAGUCGAACGAGACAAAGUUUGUAGCAAUACAAAUUUUGUUUAGUGGCGCACGGGUGCGUAACACGUGAGCAAUCUGCCGGGAAGUGGGGGAUAGCUCGCCGAAAGGCGAAUUAAUACCGCAUGUGGCCAGGAGGAUCAUUUCUCCGAAGCCAAAGUAGCAAUACGCUUCCUGAUGAGCUCGCGGCCUAUCAGCUAGAUGGCGGGGUAACGGCCCACCAUGGCUAUGACGGGUAGCUGGUCUGAGAGGACGACCAGCCACACUGGAACUGAGACACGGUCCAGACACCUACGGGUGGCAGCAGUCGAGAAUUUUUCACAAUGGGGGAAACCCUGAUGGAGCGACGCCGCGUGGAGGACGAAGGCCUUCGGGUUGUAAACUCCUGUCAUGCGGGAACAAGAAAGUGAUAGUACCGCAAGAGGAAGAGACGGCUAACUCUGUGCCAGCCGCCGCCGUAAAAC